AGUCCCGCGGGAACACGUAGGGUGCAAGCGUUAAUCGGAAUUACUGGGCGUAAAGCGUGCGCAGGCGGUUUGUUAAGACAGAUGUGAAAUCCCCGGGCUCAACCUGGGAACUGCAUUUGUGACUGGCAAGCUAGAGUGUGGCAGAGGGGGGUGGAAUUCCGCGUGUAGCAGUGAAAUGCGUAGAUAUGCGGAGGAACACCGAUGGCGAAGGCAGCCCCCUGGGCCAACACUGACGCUCAUGCACGAAAGCGUGGGGAGCAAACAGGAUUAGAUACCCCCGUAGUCCCUGUCUCUUAUACAC
rnacentral:rRNA from 1 species